UACAGAGGUCUCAAGCGUUGUUCGGAUUCAUUGGGCGUAAAGGGUGCGUAGGCGGCGCGGUAAGUCGGGUGUGAAAUCUCGGAGCUUAACUCCGAAACUGCAUUCGAUACUGCCGUGCUUGAGGACUGGGAGAGGAGACUGGAAUUUACGGUGUAGCGGUGAAAUGCGUAGAUAUCGUAAGGAAGACCAGUGGCGAAGGCGGGUCUCUGGACAGUUCCUGACGCUGAGGCACGAAGGCCAGGGGGAGCAAACGGG
rnacentral:rRNA from 1 species